rnacentral:rRNA from 1 species
CUCAAAGAUUAAGCCAUGCAAGUGGUUAUAAUAACCCGACAGUUUAAAUAAGUGUUCUAUUUCAAUACGCACUACACAAUUACAUACAAUAGUGUUAAUAAUAUCAUUGAAUAUUAUUUCACUUACGCAACUGCAGACAGCUGCUUAAUACAGUCACACUUGUCUUGACUUGGCUAAUGUUAUUGCCGCAAUGCGCGCGCAAUAUACUAAAAAUUAUAUACACUUUCGUAUAUUCAUUUUACUAACACACACACACACUUAAUGGAUAACUCAGGGAAAGUUUGGCUAAUACAUACGAGACUAUUUAACAACACACUGUAACAAUCAAUGCUCACGCAGCAUUAUUAUACACACAAACUCACGCGCGCGUUGAGCGAGUUACAGUUGUUAUAUUUUCAAUACUCAGCACUCAAUGGUAAACUUUGGUUCGCGCUUGUCGCAAUCAGUUUAAAGUUUAAUCGCAACAUGAGAGACAUUGAGCACGCAAUGUGAACUGCUUUUUGCAGUUUCACAACUAAUACGCUGAGCAGACUUUACGAAGUUUACUUUGUGAAGCAUGUCUUACAAGCAUCUACAGCAUCAAGUCACAGGGUUGGCAAGUGUAUUAUUGAACCUUCAAAGCAGUCACGCAUACGGAAGAGUAGUUUCUGAUCCCAUAGAAGGAGCACCGUACAAUGAGAGACCGCUCUUAGUUCUAAGGAACGCAGCAGGCGCGUAAAUUGCCCAAUGUUAGUACCCUACAAUUAUUGCAAUAUUUACGUAACAUAAAUAAAUAGUGCUGAAAUGUUACACACAAUAUUUAUAACUGCACAAAUAUUUAAUAUUUUAUAUCCUUGUUACAUAUGCUACUCAAUAAUUUUUAUUUACUGAGGCAGUGACAAGCUGUAACGGUUGAGUAUAAAAAUGACGAGUGUCUGGCAUUGCCGCUCUUUCGGGAGCUUGGCAAGUUGCCGACGCUUUGUGUGCUCAAUUGGAAUGCGGUGAGUUUAAGCAACUCAGAACCUUUGGAUGGUGUUAGGUAAUACUUCACUGUUCGUGUAUCUGAAUCUCAAGUGGAGGGCAAGUCUGGUGCCAGCAGCCGCGGUAAUACCAGCUCCACUGGCCUAUACAAUCAUUGUUGCGGUUAAGAGGCUCGUAGUUGGAUUGAACUGCAGACUUAAAUAUUUUAUGCGCGUAAUAAUCUAUUAUUCACACGCUACACACGUCUGUUCAGUUACUCAUCACAUUUUUUUUAGCAGCGCCGCGCGCGCUUGCCUUAUAAAAUGUCUUGAGUUUCGACACAUGAUUAGUUUAAUACGCGACUCGCGUACUUGAAUAGCUAUUACGCUCAAUACUUAUUUUUUCAACACUGUGAACAAAUCAGAGUGUAUCAAACAUGUCGUUUUUGAAUGUGCAAUGAAUGUCUUAUCAUGGGAUGUUGCCAUUAUUCAUUAACUACCGCGUGCCGUUGUAAUAAUACGCAACACACGCAUUGAAGCUAUUCAGCUCUCACACACACACACAACGCACGGGUUUAGUAUUAAUAAAACUAUAACUAUGUCGAUGGGGAUAGUUGGAGUCAACAGUACUGCUGGGCGAGAGGUGAAAUUCAUUGACCCUAGCAAGACUACCAAAAGCGAAAGCAGUUGGCUAGGCUAUACUCUUUGUGAUUGUAGAUUAUAUGUGCUGCAACAUAUUACAAUCGCCGCGUGAUUAUCACACACAUGAUUCACUCGCGCGCGCGCGUAAUAAUACACACAUAUAAUUCUACUCUAACACCAUUUACAAUGAAGAACGAAGGUUGGGGGAUCAAAGAGGAUCAGAUACCCUCGUCGUCCCAUUAAUUACAUCAAACGAUGGGCUCUCAAUUGCAUUUUUUACGUUAAAUUGCAAAUAUCCUCAGCCUACAAAAUAACUUGGCUUGAGCUCGUAAGCUUGUCGCUGUAAUCUCCCUCGCGAGUUACACGUUGAUAUUUUUACGCUCGCCUAAUAAUUUUAGUACGGUCUCUGAUGGACAUUUCAUUUACUAAUAUAAUUUUUUGCGUGUAAGCAUUGUAUCAAUCUUUGAAACAUAAGAUUAUACUGCGUGCACUUGAUUUUCGGAGCUUUGCGCUCAAUUUCUGGUGAGAUGUAAGCAUCAUGCAAUUGUUACCCGCAGUGUAUGUCUUUGGGCAUUUCAUCUGUCGUGUGUAACUUGCACUUUUCGGUGUGAAGCACGCUUUGGGCACGCGCUUACUGCAGAAAUGUCUGAGACAUUCCCCUCCGGGGGUAGUAUGCACGCAAGUGUGAAACUUGAAGGAAUUGACGGAAGGGCACCACAAGAACGCGUGGAGCAUGUGGCUUAAUUUGACUCAACGCGGGAAAUCUUACCGGGUCCGGACACACUGAGGAUUGACAGGCACUAUUAUGCUGUAUGUCUCUGUACUGCAGCAUAUGUUAAAUAUGCUAGUCCUUUCAUGAUUAUGUGAUAGGUGGUGCAUGGCCGUUCUUAGUUCGUGGAGUGAUCUGUCUGCUUAAUUGCGUUUCACUAAGGGUCCAUAUAAUUAUGUACGUUGCGGCGCUUUGACCCCUAUGCAUCUGCUCAUCGUUAGUUAGUAUGCUAUAGCGCGAGUCUCUGUCUGCUUAGCUCGUGCGGUUGGAUCCUGAAAGCAACGAACGUGACCGCAACCUCUUGUUGCCUUUAAUACUACACAACAAUGCGUCAUCUACUAUUUUGUAGCGUGACCAUUGUAAAAAAGGCUUUUUAAACUAGAGGGACCGCUGUUACUUUCUUAAACCAGAGGAAGGUUGCGGCAAUAACAGGUCUGUGAUGCCCUUAGAUGUUCCGGGCUGCACACGUGCUACAAUGAUUAUUGCAGUGAGCAUCUCAUUUUUAACACAUCGCAAGCGCGAGUCCAUUUAUGCAGGUUCUAACAUUAUCAUGUGUUAGUAAUAUUGUUUUAAAUGUGUAUCUCUGCGCGCGAUAAAGCCUGCUUCGAAAGUAAGUGGGUAAUCAAUUAGAAGUAAUGAUUUCCAUUUUUUACAGCACGAAUAUAUGUGGCGACUUUUCCCAGCCAGCCUUGUUGCUGGAUUCUUGUGUGAAUUGUUGUUUUUUUAUUACACAUGUGCAAUUGUCAAUUCAUGGUGGGGACAGACCAUUGUUAAUUGUUGGUCUCGGUCUUAACUAGGAAUGCCUUGUACGGGUCUUUGGUUCAACAAACCACCCGGAAUACGUCCCUGCCCUUUGUACACACCGCCCGUCGCUCUUACCGAUGGACUUCUCUGUGAGUUUCAAGGACUGGGGUUUCAUUUAUUUGCUAACUCUAUGGAAAUUGAAACGAACAGUGUGGUCUAAAGGAAAGAGAAGUCGUAACAAGGCAUCGGUAGGUGAACCUGCAGAAGGAUCA